GACGAACGCUGGCGGCGUGCUUAACACAUGCAAGUCGAACGGCAAGGCCCUGCUUUUGUGGGGUGCUCGAGUGGCGAACGGGUGAGUAACACGUGAGUAACCUGCCCUUGACUUUGGGAUAACUUCAGGAAACUGGGGCUAAUAUCGGAUAGGAGCUCCUGCUGCAUGGUGGGGGUUGGAAAGUUUCGGCGUUUGGGGAUGGAUGAGCGGCUUAUCGGCUUGUUGGUGGGGUAGUGGCUUACCGAGGCUUUGACGGGUCGCCGGCCUGAGAGGGUGACCGGCGACAAUGGGACUGAGAGACGGCGCAGACUCCUACGGGAGGCAGCAGUGGGGAAUAUGGCACAAUGGGCGGAAGCCUGAUGCAGCAACGCCGCGUGCGGGAUGACGGCCUGCGGGGUGUAAACAGCUGUCGCCUGUGACGAAGCGGGAGUGACGGUAAUGGGUAAAGAAGCACCGGCUAACUACGUG
rnacentral:rRNA from 1 species